UAGGGAAUCUUCGGCAAUGGGGGGAACCCUGACCGAGCAACGCCGCGUGAGUGAAGAAGGUUUUCGGAUCGUAAAGCUCUGUUGUUAAGGAAGAACGAGUGUGAGAAUGGAAAGUUCAUGCUGUGACGGUACUUAACCAGAAAGGGACGGCUAACUACGUGCCAGCAGCCGCGGUAAUACGUAGGUCCCGAGCGUUGUCCGGAUUUAUUGGGCGUAAAGCGAGCGCAGGAGGUUAGAAAAGUCUGAAGUGAAAGGCAGUGGCUCAACCAUUGUAGGCUUUGGAAACUGUUUGACUUGAGUGAAGAAAGGGAGAGUGGAAGUCCAUGUGUAGCGGUGAAAUACGUAGAUAUAUGGAGGAACGCCGGUGGCGAAAGCGGCUCUCUGGUCUGUAACUGACGCUGAGGCUCGAAAGCGUGGGGAGCGAACAGG
rnacentral:rRNA from 1 species